GGUACCAAUGAUGUCCUUAGAUCUGUACUCUGUUGUCUCCCCAACUGUGUUAGUGUUCUUAUAUAUACAGUUUUAUAAUGUUAAAUGUAAGUAGAUUACAAAUGAACAUAUCUGUGCCAACUGUCUGUUUGGGAUAAAGUGUUUUUGAUUCAGUGUUACUGUGAUUUAGAGCUACAAAUUAGUUGUAUCCCUUUGAAAUUUGAUCCUGUCAUCCUUCUGAAAUAAAGGUGUCACAACU
rnacentral:lncRNA from 1 species